rnacentral:lncRNA from 1 species
CUUCUCACUCUCUCCUCUUCCUCCUCUCUCUUUUCUUCUCACUCUCUCCUUCUCACUAUCUCCUCUUCCUCUUCUCACUUUCUCCUCUUCUUCCUCUCUCCUCUUCUUCUUCACACUCUCUCCUCUUCUUCUCACACUCUCCUCUUCUUCUCUCUCUCCUCUUCUUCUCUCCUCUUCUUCUCUCUCUCCUCUUCUUCAUCUCGCUCUCUCCUCUUCCUCCUUUCUCCUCUUCUCACUCUCUCAUCUUCUUCUUCUCACUCUCUCCUCUUCUUCUCACGCUCUCUUCCUUUCACUCUCUCCUCUUCUUCUCAGUCUCUUCUCCUUGCUCUCCCCUCUUCUUCUCGCUCUCUCCUCUUCCUCCUCUCUCUUCUUCUCACUUUCUCUUCUUCCACCUCUUCUUCUUCUCACUCACUCCUCUUCUUCUCUCUCCUCUCCUUCUCACUCUCCUUUUCUUCUCACUCCUCUUCCUCCUCUCUCCUCACUCCUCUUCCUCCUCUCUCCUCACUCCUCUUCCUCCUCUCUCCUCUUCUUCUUCUCACUCUCUCCUCUUCUCAGUCUCUUCGUCUCUCUCUCUCCUUUUCUUCUCACUCCUCUUCCUCCUCUCUCUUCUUCUCAUUCUCUCCUCUUCCUUCUCUCUCUUCUUCUCACUCUCUCCUCUCCUUCUCACACUCUCCUCCUCUUCUCACUCUCUCCUUCACACACUCUCUUCAUCUCUCGCUCCUUCUCACUCUCUCCUCUUCCUCUUCUCUCUUCUUCUCACUUUCUCCUCUUCCUCAUCUCACCUCUUCUUCCUUCUCUGUCCUCCUCUUGUUCUCAUUUUCUCCACUUCCUCCUCUCUCCUCUUUUUUUUUCACUCUCUCCUCUUCUUCUCACUCUCUCCUUUUCCUCCUCUCUCUUCUUUUUUUUAGUCUCUCAUCUUCUUCUCACACUCUCUUCAUCAU